GCGCCGCUAGCUCAACUGGCAGAGCAGCUGACUCUUAAUCAGCGGGUUCGGGGUUCGAGUCCCUGGCGGCGUA
rnacentral:tRNA from 2 species